CAUUGCAGAUACUUCAUUCUAGUCUUAACUAGUUCUCUUAACUACAAUAUCUAAUACACAUGGGUUAAUUAAUGUCUUCUGAAGUGGAAUGACAAAUCUUGUUUUUGGCUUAUUUCGCGAUAGUGAAACAGAAACAUGCCUUUCACUCUGUCAUAUUUGGUUAGCUUCAGAGGACAUUAUUAUAAUUAUUAGUAAUAAUGAUGGAUAAGGUUGAACAUGUCAAUGUACAUAAAAUAAUGGCAAAUGUAUAUAAUAUUCUUUUUUUACACACACAAACACUUGUGUUAUACUAUUUAUCAACAGACAAUCAGUUUAUAAAAGUGUCUGCAGCCAAUUAUGGAUGAACAAACGGUGUAACCUGCUCUACUGGAAAACCAGCUGACCAAAUCUCAAAUGUUCAGUGCACUCAGAGUUCAACCCUAAGUGUGCUGACCACUCAAUGUGAUGGAAAACAAGAUUGUUCGGUUCUUGCUAGUAGCACAGUUUUUGGUGAUCCCUGUGAAGGAACCUACAAAUACCUGAAUGUGUCCUACACCUGUGGCCCAGGCCCAAACUCUUUGACCUAGAAGUGAAAACAUGGACACAUCAGAAAUCAUCUCUCUUUCUGUGACCUGAUUUAAUUAGAUUAAAUAAUAAUGUUUUAAACAUUGUGUAAUCAGUGGAUGUUUGUCACAAUUUCCUUGAAUAACACUUUUUUUGUCUUUUGAUUUAUGCUAAAUUUUGGUGUAAGGUUCAUUCUGUCCCCAUGUAACCAACUGUGUCUGUUCAAUUAAUCGCUUUCAAAUGCAAACUCUUCUGUGUUUCUGUAACAUCUGUAAAUGUCUGAGUGUAGAUCUAGUGCAAAUCUUUAUGGGUAACAUCCUGCUAAUUUAUGCGAUUUAGUCCCACCUGUUGUAAUACAAUUUUUAAAUAGACAAUAUUAAUAUAAUGUUAAUCUAAAUGUUUAUAAAGUUUUCCCAUAUAUGUAUCUAAACAUUUAGCUCAAAAUAUCAUUUAGAUCAUUUAUUAUAGCAUGUUAAAAUUGCCACUUUGUAGGUGUGAGCAAAAAUUUGCCAUUUUUGGAUAUGUCCUUUAAAAUGCAAAUGAGCUGAUCUCUGCAAUAAAUGACAGUGCUGUGGUUGGAUAGUGGAGAUUAAGGGGUGCUAUUAUCCCCUUGUGACAUCACAAAGGGAGCUAAAUUUCAAUUACCUAAUUUUUCACAUGUUUGCAGAGAAUGGUUUAACAAAACAAAGUUACUGGGUUGAUCUUUUACGUUUUCUAGGUUGAUAAAAGCACUGGGGGACCCAAUAAUAGCACUUAAACAUGAAAAAGACAGAUUUUUAUGAUUUGUCUCCUUUAAUAAAUAAUGUUUUGUACUUUAAAUAAGAUGGACACCAUCAGUUUAUUGAUCUAUGUAAAAACAUGCUACAACAAAAAUUGACCUUCAUCACUGAAACACGUUAAUUGUCAACAUACAAUUUCUUAGACGUGAUGUUACAGCAGCUUUAAUGUUUAUUUAUAAUGUUAACCAUUUUAACAUAAGAAUGUGAC